CUGAGGCCGGCAUACAUGGGAAAGAGCGAUGGAUGAUGAAUGAAAACCGUUUCUGCCAUCAGCCCGUAUCCGUUCGGAAACAAACUAAUGGAAACAUGGCAACGUAGCGGUGGAAAGAACAAUACAGCCUACACACAGACGGGGCGAUCAGGCAAAAGGCAAAGGUCAUGACAAACCUCGAGUCUGCUGCCUGGGGAAGGGCUGGAACUGCACAUCAGCAUCAGAACAUCUUCUACUCCUGCAGCAAUGUUAGUCCUAGACUCAUUAGAACCACUGAAACCAAGCUUCCACCAUCACUCUGUUCCAGCGGGAUCUGCACUGUCCAUGCAGCCGGUGAGGAUCAAAGAGUUGUUGACACAUUCUGAACUGACUUGUCAAGGCUACCGUGUCUGCCUGACACUGAGUUUGUACUACAGAGCCUACAAAGAGCGCUGCGGCAAUGAUCUGCUUUAGUAACAUCUGCUGGAUGGAAAAAGA